UUCACCCUUUUGGUUUUGUGUCUUUGUUUCCUGUCUUGUGUUUCCUGUAUUAGUUUGAUUGGGUUCACCUGUCUUGUCUUGUAUUUAAGGUCUCAGUUUGUGCACAGUCUUUGUUGGUGCGUUACUCGUUACUCGUCACAUUAUGUGUUACUUGUUACAGUGCCAUCGUGCUCUGUCCAGGAGCGCAGCAGGGAGACGCAUGGAACGGGGACGAGCGAGGCUGCUUCUCUGGGCCCCCUGCCCUUAUGCUUUUUCAUUGUACUUGAGCUUCAAAAUAAAAGCCUAGUACAAAUCCAAGAGUCCUCAAAAGGGGAAGUGAGGACGCGAUCCCUUCACUGUGUGCUACAGCCACUCAGUGAGUCUCGGUGAGACUGUGACCUUUGACCUCUGACCGUCCAGCAGGACGUAGGCUACAGCUCGACUCAGGACGCCUCCUCUCUGUAUCAAGUGUCUUUUUCCAGACCUCUAACAUCUUAAUUUGCAGCCUUAGCGUGAAAUUAAAGGUGGUUUGAGCUGA